CCUACGGGAGGCAGCAGUGGGGAAUAUUGGACAAUGGGGGGAACCCUGAUCCAGCGACGCCGCGUGAGUGAAGAAGUAUUUCGGUAUGUAAAGCUCUAUCAGCAGGGAAGAAAGACAUGACGGUACCUGACUAAGAAGCCCCGGCUAACUACGUGCCAGCAGCCGCGGUAAUACGUAGGGGGCAAGCGUUAUCCGGAUUUACUGGGUGUAAAGGGAGCGUAGAUGGUGACGCAAGUCUGGAGUGAAAGGCGGGGGCCCAACCCCCGGACUGCUUUGGAAACUGUAUAACUGGAGUGCGGGAGAGGUAAGUGGAAUUCCUAGUGUAGCGGUGAAAUGCGUAGAUAUUAGGAGGAACACCAGUGGCGAAGGCGGCUUACUGGACUGUAACUGACGUUGAGGCUCGAAAGCGUGGGGAGCAAACAGGAUUAGAUACCCCAGUAGUC
rnacentral:rRNA from 1 species